rnacentral:rRNA from 1 species
GGGUGAGUAAUGUAUCGGAACGUGCCCAGUCGUGGGGGAUAACUGCUCGAAAGAGCAGCUAAUACCGCAUACGACCUGAGGGUGAGAGCGGGGGAUCGCAAGACCUCGCGCGAUUGGAGCGGCCGAUAUCAGAUUAGGUAGUUGGUGAGGUAAAGGCUCACCAAGCCGACGAUCUGUAGCUGGUCUGAGAGGACGACCAGCCACACUGGGACUGAGACACGGCCCAGACUCCUACGGGAGGCAGCAGUGGGGAAUUUUGGACAAUGGGCGCAAGCCUGAUCCAGCCAUGCCGCGUGCGGGAAGAAGGCCUUCGGGUUGUAAACCGCUUUUGUCAGGGAAGAAAAGGUUCUGGCUAAUACCUGGGACUCAUGACGGUACCUGAAGAAUAAGCACCGGCUAACUACGUGCCAGCAGCCGCGGUAAUACGUAGGGUGCAAGCGUUAAUCGGAAUUACUGGGCGUAAAGCGUGCGCAGGCGGUUAUGCAAGACAGAGGUGAAAUCCCCGGGCUCAACCUGGGAACUGCCUUUGUGACUGCAUGGCUAGAGUACGGUAGAGGGGGAUGGAAUUCCGCGUGUAGCAGUGAAAUGCGUAGAUAUGCGGAGGAACACCGAUGGCGAAGGCAAUCCCCUGGACCUGUACUGACGCUCAUGCACGA